rnacentral:rRNA from 1 species
UACGUAGGGGGCUAGCGUUGUCCGGAAUCAUUGGGCGUAAAGAGCGUGUAGGCGGUCCGGUCAGUCGGCUGUGAAAGUCCAGGGCUCAACCCUGGAAAGCCGGUGGAUACUGCCGGGCUAGAGUCCGGAAGAGGCGAGUGGAAUUCCUGGUGUAGCGGUGGAAUGCGCAGAUAUCAGGAGGAACACCAAUGGCGAAGGCAGCUCGCUGGGACGGUACUGACGCUGAGGCGCGAAAGCGUGGGGAGCGAACAGG